CACUACAUUUCAUGCAUCCACUGGUAUCAUGGUCUCGGGAGUCAUCAUCUACAUCACUGCUGGUUCUCUCACGGUUAGUGCCAAAAAGAAGCUCAGUCCCUGUUUGGUGAAAGCAUCCCUGGGGAUGAACAUCAUCAGCACAGUAACUGCAGGGAUUGCCAUAUUUAUGCAUAGCAAUGAUUUAGGCAUAAUACGGUAUGGCGAUUCCAGCUAUUCCAGCUUUUCCAGUUAUUC